rnacentral:rRNA from 1 species
UGACCUCGGAUCAGGUAGGGAUACCCGCUGAACUUAAGCAUAUUAAUAAGC